rnacentral:rRNA from 1 species
AUCGAACGCUGGCGGCAGGCUUAACACAUGCAAGUCGAGCGGGGGAGGUUGCUUCGGUAACUGACCUAGCGGCGGACGGGUGAGUAAUGCUUAGGAAUCUGCCAUUUAGUGGGGGACAACAUUCCGAAAGGAAUGCUAAUACCGCAUACGUCCUACGGGAGAAAGCAGGGGAUCUUCGGACCUUGCGCUAAAUGAUGAGCCUAAGUCGGAUUAGCUAGUUGGUGGGGUAAAGGCCUACCAAGGCGACGAUCUGUAGCGGGUCUGAGAGGAUGAUCCGCCACACUGGGACUGAGACACGGCCCAGACUCCUACGGGAGGCAGCAGUGGGGAAUAUUGGACAAUGGGCGGAACCCUGAUCCAGCCAUGCCGCGUGUGUGAAGAAGGCCUUAUGGUUGUAAAGCACUUUAAGCGAGGAGGAGGCUACUUUAGUUAAUACCUAGAGAUAGUGGACGUUACUCGCAGAAUAAGCACCGGCUAACUCUGUGCCAGCCGCCGCCGUAACAC